GCCGACCUGAGAGGGUGAUCGGCCACACUGGAACUGAGACUCGGUCCAGACUCCUACGGGAGGCAGCAGUAGGGAAUCUUCCGCUAUGGGCGAAAGCCUGACGGAGCAACGCCGCGUGAGUGAUGAAGGUCUUCGGAUCGUAAAACUCUGUUAUUAGGGAAUAACAUAUGUGUAAGUAACUGUGCACAUCUUGACGGUACCUAAUCAGAAAGCCACGUCUAACUACGUGCCAGCAGCC
rnacentral:rRNA from 1 species